rnacentral:tRNA from 1 species
GGCCGAUUAGUAUAGUGGUUAUUAUGUCUCCUUUACAUCAUGCAAAUGGUCGGAGAAGGUCGCAGGUUCGAGCCCUGCAUCGGUCA